UACGUAGGGUGCGAGCGUUGUCCGGAAUUAUUGGGCGUAAAGGGCUCGUAGGCGGUUUGUCGCGUCGGGAGUGAAAACACUGGGCUUAACUCAGUGCUUGCUUUCGAUACGGGCAGACUAGAGGUAUGCAGGGGAGAACGGAAUUCCUGGUGUAGCGGUGAAAUGCGCAGAUAUCAGGAGGAACACCGGUGGCGAAGGCGGUUCUCUGGGCAUGAUCUGACGCUGAGGAGCGAAAGUGUGGGGAGCGAACAGG
rnacentral:rRNA from 1 species